rnacentral:lncRNA from 1 species
UUGGUUCAUUUAAAAAAAAUCAGUUUAUAGAAAUACAAAGUUCAUUUCUAUUAUCUGAUCAUUAAUUCAUCAUCUCAACUUUUUAUAUCGUAUCAUUCUAAAUAUCCUAUUUGAAAUUGAUAUUAUUCUUAUUUAUUUGAUUGUUUAUUUUGUAAUAGUUUUAAUGGAAUAAAAAAAUCUUCUUAACCUUUUUUUAGAUUUUAUUUUUAAAAUUCAAGAAUUAAAAAUGAAAUAAAUUUUGACUUUUUUUUAUUUCUUUAAAUAUUGAAAUUAUAAAACAAAUAGAGACCUCAUGAAAAAAAAUUUCGCCCGCACAAACACUCUAAAGCCCGCAUUGCAUGGACCAAGUCGUAUAAUUACGUAGUGAUGAGUUGAGAAGCUGUUCGUUUCCGAAAUUAAGUUCAAGACUUAUGAAAAGCCUACAAGAAAUAUAUGUUCAAAGCCUUACAGGACGUAUGGCCAUGAAUAAUUAAGUCGACUGGAGGGAUUUUUGGCCAUAAAAAAAAGUCAUAAUCUAUUUAUUGUUUAGGUUAGUGGGAGAAUCGAAAUUCAAAACCUACGACCUAAAAUGUCAACCAAAAUUAAUUCAGGUUUUGUACUCGGAGUUUCGUAUUAAAAUUGCUUAAACAACGUUAAUACCGAUCAACGGUUGUCAUAUAAUAUCAUCGAAUUUGAAUGGUCAUAGCUCGAGGUGAAACUUCUGUCGCGAUUCAUGGGAAGCGUACUAUACAAACUAUAUUAUUUAAUAUGAAACACAACUUUUCAAAUCUCUUAAUUAACUCAAUUAAAUACCACAACAUAAGGCACAACUAGGACUGUUCGGUUUCUUGGCUUUUUAUGAGACUUUGCGCCUCUUUGAGAAAAUUCUUGAUACGGAUCAAUCAAAAAGAUAGAUUUAUUACUAAUAGAGAAGUUUUGAUUAGGUUUACGGUCCAUCGAUGUGUCCAAUUUUUAUUGAGGGAGCUGUGGGUAUUAUUAAACAGCGAUUUUUUAAUAAAAGCUGCACACAUUAACUGCCCUUCACUGGAUCUACUAAUGGGUAAUUUAACGAUAAUGAAUUAUAUAUAUAUAUA